GGGAUCUGCACCGCCCCUUCGUGUUACCUGCGAUUAUAUGACCCUGCCUAAAGGAUUGGCACUGAAGAAUACACUAUGUUUAGUUACCCUCUCUCAGGUUUCUGGAAUAACAGUCCAUCAUCAUCAUCCAGAGAUGAGCUACACAGCCUGUAACAGCACCACGUCACCCAUUCAUCACUGGACAACCUCAGCUGCAUACAUACAUGAGGAAGAAAAUAACAAGAUAAAGAUGAUCCUUAAGACUAUUUUGACUGUUAGAAUGUGGAACUAUUGUCAAUAUAGCUGGAGAAACGGCUGGAGAGUGGCACUGUUUCAACUAGCACUGUUCUAGGAAAGACUCAAAAGAGUCCCAAGGGAGUCUUGCGUUAAGUCCCAAGUCUAUUCACUAAAAUUCCAUAGGUCAAUCAGAGCCCAGUGGAGCUAUCCUUUGGUAAACAUACAAGACUGUUGGCAGACGCUAAGUUUCCCUUACCCUCUGAAAGGUGCUGCAUAUUAUCCAGAGGGUCACCAGCUACAUCUUCACAUCUUUAUGAUCCAGCCCAGGUAUCUCUGCAUCACUACUGCAGCAGCGUUAAGGUGGGAGAGAGUAGCAAGAGCAGCCAUCAGGAUUCCUAUUCCAGCUUCAGUCUUUCUCUCCCUGUCCCCCUCUCACAGAUGCACACCUGCACAUCUAGCCCCUGCACCCACUCUACUCAACAGAGGUUUAGUUUACAGUCUUUGAAAUGGUAAUCUUUGAAAAAUGGGUUUUCAAAUUAGUGGAAUUUUCCCACUUCUCUUAGGGGGAACCCACCAAUGAAAAAUCCUCCCCAUCAUCACAGAUUGAAAUUUUAUAUUCUCCUCUAAUCAAAGUAGCUUUAUAAUCAGUGGCUUGGUCACCUUCUUUCUGUUUGAGUCUAACAGAAAAUUGGUAACUUCAGUGGUUUUCUGGGUCAGUGAUGGAAACUGAUUAUUGUAAUAACUUCAGUUGGGAAUGAUGACAGCUCAGGGAAACUCCUAUCUGACUAAGCCCAGAAUCUGAAUUUAAGAUUAGAAAAUAGUUUCAGGCCAGGCGUGGUGGCUCACGUCUGUAAUCCCAGCACUUUGGGGGGCCGAGGCAGGUGGAUCACCUGAGGUCAGGAGUUCAAGACCAGCCUAGCCAACAUAGUGAAACCUCGUCUCUACUAAAAAUAGAAAAAUCAGCCAGGUAUGGUGGCAUGUACCUAUAAUCCCAGCUACUCAGGAAGCUGAGGCAGGAGAAUUGCUUGAACCUGAGAGGCGGAGGUUGCAAUGAGCUGAGAUUGCACCACUGUACUCCAGCCUGGGUGACAGAGCACAACUCCAUCUCAAAAAAAAAUUUUUUUUUAAAUAGUUUCAGCUUUACACUGAGCAAGAGGGAAAAAUGUUGUACCUUUCUCUUGGGUCUAAAGUAAUGCAUUAAAAACUUUGGAAAUUUCAAGUUUGGAACAUAGAAAAGUAUGCAAAUUCUUCAGCAGCCUUGCUUGAGGGCUUGUGUUAACACUUAAAAUUCUGAUAUGGAUGAAUUUGUCAAUCAAAAAGAAUCAAUGUAAGAAUCUAGAAUAUUUAAAAAAUAAAACCACUGACAUUAUAAAUAAUAAACUCAAAGGGAUUACAUUUGGGGAUAAAUAUUUUAAAAUGAUAGGAACUGAAAAUAACUAAAACUAUACAGGCAAAGAAAGAAGAAAAUAAAAAUGGUACAUUACCAAAAAAAAAAAAAAAA